ACUGGAGGACCGAACCGACUACCGUUGAAAAGUUAGCGGAUGACCUGUGGAUCGGAGUGAAAGGCUAAUCAAGCUCGGAGAUAGCUGGUUCUCCUCGAAAGCUAUUUAGGUAGCGCCUCAUGUAUCACUGUAGGGGGUAGAGCACUGUUUCGGCUAGGGGGUCAUCCCGACUUACCAAACCGAUGCAAACUCCGAAUACCUACAAGUGCCGAGCAUGGGAGACACACGGCGGGUGCUAACGUCCGUCGUGAAAAGGGAAACAACCCAGACCGUCAGCUAAGGUCCCAAAGUUAUGGUUAAGUGGGAAACGAUGUGGGAAGGCUUAGACAGCUAGGAGGUUGGCUUAGAAGCAGCCACCCUUUAAAGAAAGCGUAAUAGCUCACUAGUCGAGUCGGCCUGCGCGGAAGAUGUAACGGGGCUCAAACCAUACACCGAAGCUACGGGUAUCACGUAAGUGAUGCGGUAGAGGAGCGUUCUGUAAGCCUGUGAAGGUGAGUUGAGAAGCUUGCUGGAGGUAUCAGAAGUGCGAAUGCUGACAUGAGUAACGACAAUGGGUGUGAAAAACACCCACGCCGAAAGACCAAGGUUUCCUGCGCAACGUUAAUCGACGCAGGGUUAGUCGGUCCCUAAGGCGAGGCUGAAAAGCGUAGUCGAUGGAAAACAGGUUAAUAUUCCUGUACUUCUGGUUAUUGCGAUGGAGGGACGGAGAAGGCUAGGCCAGCUUGGCGUUGGUUGUCCAAGUUUAAGGUGGUAGGCUGAAAUCUUAGGUAAAUCCGGGGUUUCAAGGCCGAGAGCUGAUGACGAGUUACCCUCUGGGUGACGAAGUGGUUGAUGCCAUGCUUCCAAGAAAAGCUUCUAAGCUUCAGAUAACCAGGAACCGUACCCCAAACCGACACAGGUGGUUGGGUAGAGAAUACCAAGGCGCUUGAGAGAACUCGGGUGAAGGAACUAGGCAAAAUGGCACCGUAACUUCGGGAGAAGGUGCGCCGGUGAGGGUGAAGCACUUGCUGCGUAAGCCCACGCCGGUCGAAGAUACCAGGCCGCUGCGACUGUUUAUUAAAAACACAGCACUCUGCAAACACGAAAGUGGACGUAUAGGGUGUGACGCCUGCCCGGUGCCGGAAGGUUAAUUGAUGGGGUUAGCUAACGCGAAGCUCUUGAUCGAAGCCCCGGUAAACGGCGGCCGUAACUAUAACGGUCCUAAGGUAGCGAAAUUCCUUGUCGGGUAAGUUCCGACCUGCACGAAUGGCGUAACGAUGGCGGCGCUGUCUCCACCCGAGACUCAGUGAAAUUGAAAUCGCUGUGAAGAUGCAGUGUAUCCGCGGCUAGACGGAAAGACCCCGUGAACCUUUACUAUAGCUUUGCACUGGACUUUGAAUUUGCUUGUGUAGGAUAGGUGGGAGGCUUUGAAGCGUGGACGCCAGUCUGCGUGGAGCCAUCCUUGAAAUACCACCCUGGCAACUUUGAGGUUCUAACUCAGGUCCGUUAUCCGGAUCGAGGACAGUGUAUGGUGGGUAGUUUGACUGGGGCGGUCUCCUCCUAAAGAGUAACGGAGGAGUACGAAGGUGCGCUCAGACCGGUCGGAAAUCGGUCGUAGAGUAUAAAGGCAAAAGCGCGCUUGACUGCGAGACAGACACGUCGAGCAGGUACGAAAGUAGGUCUUAGUGAUCCGGUGGUUCUGUAUGGAAGGGCCAUCGCUCAACGGAUAAAAGGUACUCCGGGGAUAACAGGCUGAUACCGCCCAAGAGUUCAUAUCGACGGCGGUGUUUGGCACCUCGAUGUCGGCUCAUCACAUCCUGGGGCUGAAGCCGGUCCCAAGGGUAUGGCUGUUCGCCAUUUAAAGUGGUACGCGAGCUGGGUUUAGAACGUCGUGAGACAGUUCGGUCCCUAUCUGCCGUGGACGUUUGAGAUUUGAGAGGGGCUGCUCCUAGUACGAGAGGACCGGAGUGGACGAACCUCUGGUGUUCCGGUUGUCACGCCAGUGGCAUUGCCGGGUAGCUAUGUUCGGAAAAGAUAACCGCUGAAAGCAUCUAAGCGGGAAACUUGCCUCAAGAUGAGAUCUCACUGGAGCCUUGAGCUCCCUGAAGGGCCGUCGAAGACUACGACGUUGAUAGGCAGGGUGUGUAAGCGCUGUGAGGCGUUGAGCUAACCUGUACUAAUUGCCCGUGAGGCUUGACCAUAUAACACCCAAGCA
rnacentral:rRNA from 1 species